rnacentral:rRNA from 1 species
UCUACGGGUGGCAGCAGUGAGGAAUAUUGGUCAAUGGGCGCGAGCCUGAACCAGCCAAGUAGCGUGAAGGAUGACUGCCCUACGGGUUGUAAACUUCUUUUAUAAAGGAAUCAAGUGAGGCACGUGUGCCUUUUUGUAUUUCCUUUAUGAAUAAGGAUCGGCUAACUCCGUGCCAUCAGCCGCGGUAAUACGGAGACUCCGAUCGUUACCAGGAUUUAUUGGGUUUAAAUGGAGCGUAGAUGGGUUGUUAAGUCAGUUGUGAAAGUUUGCGGCUCAACCGUAAAAUUGCAAUUGAUACUGGCAGUCUUGAGUACAGUUGAGGUAGGCGGAAUUCGUGGUGUAGCGGUGAAAUGCUUAGAUAUCACGAAGAACUCCGAUUGCGAAGGCAGCUUACUAAACUGCCACUGACAGUGAUGCUCGAAAGUGUGGGUAUCAAACAGGAUUAGAUACCCGGGUAGUC